AGCCAAAGUAGAGCAAAAAGUCAAAAGUUAACAAGAGCCAGACAAAAUACUUCUUUUGCAAGAAGUUGGAUCAUUGGAAAAUGAAUUAUCCUGCUUAUAUAGCUAUCCUUGACUCAAACAGACCUGAGAACAAGAGAAUCAAGCAAUCGGUUGCUUCACAAAGUACUUAUAUGAUCACUCCUUAUAAUUUUUCUAUUUGUGAUACUACUACCUGGGUAUUAGAUACCGAAAGUCCAAUUAAUAUUUGUAAGUCGUUGUAGGGACUG
rnacentral:lncRNA from 1 species